rnacentral:ncRNA from 1 species
AUGCCUCGAGGACGGAGAUAAUGUACUUCCGUCACUUCCUAAAAGAGAUGUAGGGCCGGUACUCCUACCGAGGCUU